rnacentral:ncRNA from 1 species
AAGAGUCCACAUCGACGGGGAGGUUUGGCACCUCGAUGUCGGCUCGUCUCAUCCUGGGGCUGGAGUAGGUCCCAAGGGUUGGGCUGUUCGCCCAUUAAAGAGGCACGCGAGCUGGGUUCAGAACGUCGUGAGACAGUUCGGUCCCUAUCCGUCGCAGGCGUAGGAAAUUUGAGAGGAGCUGUCCUUAGUACGAGAGGACCGGGAUGGACGCACCUCUGGUGCACCAGUUGUCACGCCAGUGGCACAGCUGGGUAGCUAUGUGCGGAAUGGAUAAGCGCUGAAGGCAUCUAAGCGCGAAGCCAACCUCAAGAUAAGAUUUCCCACUUCAUAGAAGGUAAGAUCCCAGAAAGACUAUCUGGUUGAUAGGCCCAGGGUGUAAGUGCAGCAAUGCAUUCAGCUGAUGGGUACUAAUAGAUCGAGGACUUGACCAA